rnacentral:rRNA from 1 species
UCCAAUGAAGUAGCAAUACGGAUGGUGAGAGUGGCGAAGGGCGAGGAACACGUGAGCAACCUGCCUUGAGGUGGGGAAAACCGUUGGAAACGACGGCUAAUACCGAAUGUGGCGCCCGGAGACAUCUCCGGAGCGCUAAAGGGGGCCCAAAAGGCUCUCCCUCUUCGAGGGGCUCGCGCACCAUCAGCUUGUUGGCGGGUAACGGCCCACCAAGGCUUACGGUUAGCUGGUCUGAGAGGAUGGCCAGCCGCACUGGGACUGAGAUACUGCCCAGACUCCUACGGGAGGCUGCAGUCGAGGAUCAUUCGCAAUGGGGGAAACCCUGACGAGUGCGACGCUGCGUGGAGGAUGAAGGGUACCCUUCGGGUUGUAAACUCCUGUCAUGAUGGAAAAGGAGAGGGGACCCAACACGUCCCUGAUUUGAUGGUACAUCAAGAGGAAGAGACGGCUAACUCUGUGCCAGCAGCUGC